rnacentral:rRNA from 1 species
AACGAACGCUGGCGGCAUGCCUAACACAUGCAAGUCGAACGAAGCCUUCGGGCUUAGUGGCGCACGGGUGCGUAACGCGUGGGAAUCUGCCCUUGGGUUCGGAAUAACAGUUAGAAAUGACUGCUAAUACCGGAUGAUGUCUUCGGACCAAAGAUUUAUCGCCCAAGGAUGAGCCCGCGUAGGAUUAGGUAGUUGGUGGGGUAAUGGCCCACCAAGCCGACGAUCCUUAGCUGGUCUGAGAGGAUGAUCGGCCACACUGGGACUGAGACACGGCCCAGACUCCUACGGGAGGCAGCAGUGGGGAAUAUUGGACAAUGGGCGAAAGCUUGAUCCAGCAAUGCCGCGUGAGUGAUGAAGGCCUUAGGGUUGUAAAGCUCUUUUACCAGGGAUGAUAGUGACAGUACCUGGAGAAUAAGCUCCGGCUAACUCCGUGCCAGCAGCCGCGGUAA